GAUGAACGCUGGCGGCGUGCCUAACACAUGCAAGUCGAACGGAGAUUUAACGCUGAUGAAGCUUCGGCAGAUUCUUGUUAAAUCUUAGUGGCGGACGGGUGAGUAACGCGUGGGCAACCUGCCUCAUACUGGGGGAUAACAGCUGGAAACGACUGUUAAUACCGCAUAAGCGCACAGCAUCGCAUGAUGCAGUGUGAAAAACUCCGGUGGUAUGAGAUGGGCCCGCGUCAGAUUAGCCAGUUGGCAGGGUAACGGCCUACCAAAGCGACGAUCUGUAGCCGGCCUGAGAGGGCGGACGGCCACAUUGGGACUGAGACACGGCCCAAACUCCUACGGGAGGCAGCAGUGGGGGAUAUUGCACAAUGGAGGAAACUCUGAUGCAGCGACGCCGCGUGAGUGAAGAAGUAUUUCGGUAUGUAAAGCUCUAUCAGCAGGGAAGAAAGACUCGUAAGAGAGAUGACGGUAC
rnacentral:rRNA from 2 species